rnacentral:lncRNA from 1 species
AAAAAGGCAUUAAUCUUAGAAUGACUUUCGGAUUUGGGCAUUUUCCCAAAUGCCUUUCGGAUUUAGGCACUCUAUCUAUGUGAGAAGACGCUUCUACCCUUGGUUUUUGACGUCAUUACUCUGUCUUCUUCGUUUGCAACUUUUUCUAGUCACGAAACAAUUAACCCCCUCUCUUAUCUCUCUAAACCUUUUAGAGAGAGAGAUUUUGAUCGGUGGUUUUGGCCGUCCGGCUUGCCUUGCCGGCUUAUGGAUCCGGACGUGGUCCGGUUUUGUCGUCCCAUCUCGCCAUCCCAUCUCGCCAUCCCAUCUCGCCGUCCGGUGUAUCCGGCUUUGCUCACGGCUAUUCCGUUGCCGGCGUUUUUGACGUUUUCAAUCGCCUCAUUUGAGGUCCGUCUUGCCAUUAUAGGAAGUCAAGGUAUCAAUUUCCGAAGUCUAUUUUUUAUAUCAAGUGAUGACAAGAGUUCAGAAGCUUCACCUCGUGGUUGAUUGUUUUCCGGCGACUUCUUUCAUGCUUCUUCUUCCUGUCCUUCUAUUCCCUCUUCUUCUUAUCACUCCAGAUUGAUCAUUCGCCGGAUCCGAAACUCGCUUGAAUACGGUGACAUUGAGACCGCCAUCGACAUCCUUUGCUCCUACGCUCCUUUCGUCCUCGAUGAUCAUCGUAUUCUAUUUUGCCUCCGAUUCAGGUGAAUUUCUUCAAGCUUCUAUUCAAAUUUGCAGUCAAUUUGCUUAAGUAUUGGACAUUUGUAAAU